rnacentral:tRNA from 1 species
GGGUCGUUAGCUCAGUUGGUAGAGCAGUUGACUUUUAAUCAAUUGGUCGCAGGAGCAGUUGACUUUUAAUCAAUUGGUCGCAGGUUCGAAUCCUGCACGACCCACCA